rnacentral:rRNA from 1 species
CCUACGGGAGGCAGCAGUAAGGAAUAUUGGUCAAUGGAGGCAACUCUGAACCAGCCAUGCCGCGUGCAGGAAGACGGCCCUAUGGGUUGUAAACUGCUUUUGAACUAGAGAAAACCUUGGUACGUGUACCGAGUUGAUAGUAUAGUUAGAAUAAGCAUCGGCUAACUUCGUGCCAGCAGCCGCGGUAAGACGAAGGAUGCAAGCGUUAUCCGGAUUCAUUGGGUUUAAAGGGUGCGUAGGCGGACUGAUAAGUCAGUGGUGAAAUCUCUCAGCUUAACUGAGAAACUGCCAUUGAUACUGUUAGUCUAGAGUACAGAUGAUGUGGGCGGAAUAUGACAUGUAGUGGUGAAAUACUUAGAUAUGUCAUAGAACACCGAUUGCGAAGGCAGCUCACAAAACUGUAACUGACGCUGAGGCACGAAAGUGCGGGGAUCAAACAGGAUUAGAUACCCUGGUAGUCCGCACCGUAAACGAUGAUUACUCGUUGUUGGCGAUAUGACAGUCAGCGACCAAGCGAAAGCGAUAAGAAUCCACCUGGGGAGUACGCCGGCGAACGGUGAAACCGUUAAAGGAAUUGACGGCGNGAGAGNGCGAGGACGACACGAGGGAGGAGG